AACGCGAAGAACCUUACCUGGGCUCGAACGACUAGUGGUAGGAGGGAUGAAAGUCCCGACGACCCGCAAGGGAGCUAGCCGAGGUGCUGCAUGGUUGUCGUCAGCUCGUGUCGUGAGAUGUUGGGUUAAGUCCCGCAACGAGCGCAACCCCUAUCCUGUGUUGCUACCCGCAAGGGAGGACUCUCAGGAGACUGCCGCGGAUAACGUGGAGGAAGGUGGGGCUGACGUCAAAUCAUCAUGGCCUUUAUGUCCAGGGCCACACACGUGCUACAAUGGCGCGUACAACGGGAUGCAAUAGCGCAAGCUGGAGCCAAUCCUUCAAAGCGCGCCUCAGUUCAGAUUGUGGGCUGCAAUUCGCCCACAUGAAGGCGGAAUCGCUAGUAAUCGCAGAUCAGCAGGCUGCGGUGAAUACGUUCCCGGGCCUUGUACACACCGGCUAC
rnacentral:rRNA from 1 species